GAUGAACGCUGGCGGUGUGCCUAAUACAUGCAAGUCGAACGCAUAGCGAAAGGUGCUUGCCCCUUUCAAGUGAGUGGCGAACGGGUGAGUAACACGUGGACAACCUGCCUCAAGGCUGGGGAUAACAUUUGGAAACAGAUGCUAAUACCGAAUAAAACUUAGUGUCGCAUGACACAAAGUUAAAAGGCGCUUCGGCGUCACCUAGAGAUGGAUCCGCGGUGCAUUAGUUAGUUGGUGGGGUAAAGGCCUACCAAGACAAUGAUGCAUAGCCGAGUUGAGAGACUGAUCGGCCACAUUGGGACUGAGACACGGCCCAAACUCCUACGGGAGGCUGCAGUAGGGAAUCUUCCACAAUGGGCGAAAGCCUGAUGGAGCAACGCCGCGUGUGUGAUGAAGGCUUUCGGGUCGUAAAGCACUGUUGUAUGGGAAGAACAGCUAGAAUAGGAAAUGAUUUUAGUUUGACGGUACCAUACCAGAAAGGGACGGCUAAAUACGUG
rnacentral:rRNA from 1 species